UCAGUUUAAAGGCCAUUUGUUUGCAUAUUUCUGGUGCAAGAGGGCGUGCCUUACUCAAAAGAGAAGGAUCAAAUACAUGACAUCAAAAAUAGACUAAAACGCUCAUAGAAGGAAAUAAAUCAACAACUCUUGUUUUCCAAACAAUCUUAUACGAACAAAUUCUUACAGAAGAACCAAACUAUAUGUAAUCAGGCCUUGAAUCGUCAUCACGUGUAUAAGGAAGGAAACUAAAAAGAUCUGUACUAAAUAGGAGGUUUUCGUUGCUAGCUUUAGUAUUUCCAAACAAAUUAUUGGCUUCCCACUAAAUGAUACGCAUGCUAAAAAUUAUACGAAUCCGGUGUUGCUUAGUAAGAUCUUACAAUGAGCGAUAGAAGAUGUUAAUUCUGUCCAAAACAGGCUCAUCGAGCAGGGGAAGAAAAACAACAGAACAAUUACAAAAUUCUAACUUGAUGGAACCAAAAUAGCAUAGUCAUGACAAGCACAAAUGAGCAUACUCAUGGAAAGCAUAACUGGGCUGAUUAUCGACGCACCAUUCAUUUAGCUACCAUACGACAGUUUAAUUCCAGUCAUGAAUUAUCAAAACAAAAACUAUACAGGUUUCACUUCCAAAACAGAUUUAGUUAACAAAUUGAUAGACAAACGAAUGGUCUCAGAUCCCCUAUAAAAAGACACUAAUUCAACUCCCAACAAUCAUAUCGGAACAAAGGUUAAACACUAAGCGUGAUGUCAAUAUAGCUUCCAUUCCAACCUUCCAAGGGUCAUGUGUUCACUCUUUAGUAACAGCAAAAUCCAAGCACAAUCUUCUAUGUUUGUUCAAAAGAAGAGAUACUAGAGAAUCAGAUAACCAAGUGGAAAACCAUGAGGAUAUACAUUACUGAUUCAGAUUCAUUUGACAAUCAUAUGGUAGAGCAGAACAGUAAAUGAAAUUGCAGAUAACCAUACAAGCCUCAUCUAUUGUUUUAACUGAAAUAGUUUUACAGUCCAUCCAUGGCUCCUUUCACAACAAAAAUAAGAGGAAGAGCAGAAAUGAACCUGCGAUGAAAAUAAACUUAGUCUCAAUACUGAAAUCAACGCAGAGCAGAAACAGCUACGAAUCGAUGCCUCGAGCAAUAACGAGUUCAAUUAUCUCUCAAUCGAACUCUAUUUUUUACAAAAUCCAGACUGAAAGAAGAGAUGGAAUCCAUAUGUUUUGAAGCUUGUAAAUAAUAAACCAAACAACCAUAAAAUCACUGAAUAUUGAACAUUCUUUCUAUAUUUUCUUUUUCUGAAGUUCAACUAUGAAUGAAAGAAAACGGUAAGAAGAAGAAGCUAUCUCUCCAACCCAGAUUUUUGAAGAAAAAAAAAAUAUAGACCUCUUUGAAAAAUCAUCUCUACAAAAUCCCUCUAAAAACUCACUCCUCCGAAAUCCAUCCAGAAUCCCUUUUAAGAACGAAUUCCUGAUGAAUGUGGGGCUUGGAUUGAGUGAAAUCAAUCUAACGCCUCACACUCAUCCAGCAAAUUGUUCUCAGAAGCUUCCAAUCGCGUGCCUUAAUCUCCAAAUCGAGCGACUGAAGGGAAUGAGAAUAUUCAUGUUAGAAACAGUUAGAGAUGGUGAUGAGGAGAGAAGGAUGAACGCGUGAGGAGGGAUUUGAGACUCACUCGCUUGGAUUUGGGCUAAAUUGUGGCUUGGUUCAUGUUCUUCUUUGGAGAAGAAGAACAAUCGCCUUGUCACUGGUGAGAUUAGGGCUUCGCGUGUAUGU
rnacentral:lncRNA from 1 species